rnacentral:rRNA from 1 species
GGUAUGCUAAGUGCACCUUCCGGUACACUUACCUUGUUACGACUUACCUCAUCUUUAGCUGCGUCUUGUGUUAGUUACAGUGCUUGGGGGCUUAUGAGGAGGGUGACGGGCGGUGUGUACGUGCCCUAGGGCCAGCUUAAAGAAGGCGAUCUUGUCCUACUUUACUGCUAAAUCCUCCUUUUGGGGGCAGGUUUCAGGCCCCCUUCCGUUGAGGGUUGUUCUAUCUUAGAAAAUGUAGCCCAUUUCUUCCACUUCGUGGGCUAUACCUUGACCUGUCUUGUUAGUGGGCUGGUGUGGGGCUGUUGAGUCCACUGCUGCUCUCUCAUGGAGGUGGGCUGGCGACGGCGGUAUGUAGGCUGUUUUGGCAAGAAGUGGUUGGGUGGAUCGUGGAUUAUCGAUUACAGAACAGGCUCCUCUAGGUGGGUUUAGGGCACCGCCAAGUCCUUAGAGUUUUAAGCGUUUGUGCUCGUAGUUCUCGGGCGGAUGCUUGUGUGUGGUAAGCAUCUGGAUUUAGGGCCAAGCAUAGUGGGGUAUCUAAUCCCAGUUUGUGUCUUGGCUUUCGUGGGAGGUGGUAGGUCGUGGGUGUUAAGAUCGUCUUUAGGUUGGGUUUAGGGGGUGCCUUGGGCUUAUGACGGCUUGGGCCUCGGCUUGAUCUUAAUUGGUUGCGAUAGUUUUGGCCCACUCUUUACGCCGGGUACGGUUAAUUUGGGUCUCUUGUAUGACCGCGGUGGCUGGCACAAGAUUUACCAACCCUGGGUUGCUCUAACUAAGUCAGGCUUACACCUAUUGCUUAAUGUUAGUUACUGCUGAGUGCCCGUGGGGGUGUGGCUGAGCAAGGCGUUUUGGGCUGCUGGGGCGUGCCUGAUGCCUGCUCCUUUUGCCUUGGUAAGGGGUUGGGGGCGUUUGCACUGGAGCGCGGAUACUUGCAUGUAUACGUUAAGCAAGAAUUAAUGGUAAGGUUAGGACUAAGUCUUUU